AUGCUCACUUCAGUGGUAUGUAUAUUAAAAUGGGAAUGACACAGAGACUAGCAUGGCCCCUGUGCAAAUUCUUAAAGAAUUCCAUUCAUUUUGU
rnacentral:snRNA from 1 species